GCUGAACUUAAGCAUAUCAAUAAGCGGAGGAAAAGAAACCAACAGGGAUUGCCCUAGUAACGGCGAGUGAAGCGGCAACAGCUCAAAUUUGAAAUCUGGCGCAAGCCCGAGUUGUAAUUUGUAGAGGAUGCUUCUAGGUAGCGACCGGUCUAAGUUCCUUGGAACAGGACGUCAUAGAGGGUGAGAAUCCCGUAUGUGACCGGCCCGCACCUUCUACGUAGCUCCUUCGACGAGUCGAGUUGUUUGGGAAUGCAGCUCUAAAUGGGAGGUAAAUUUCUUCUAAAGCUAAAUACCGGCCAGAGACCGAUAGCGCACAAGUAGAGUGAUCGAAAGAUGAAAAGCACUUUGGAAAGAGAGUUAAAAAGCACGUGAAAUUGUUGAAAGGGAAGCGCUUACAACCAGACUUCUGGGCGGUGUUCCGCCGGUCUUCUGACCGGUCUACUCACCGUCCCGAGGCCAACAUCAUCUGGGACCGCCGGAUAAGACCUUAGGAAUGUAGCUCCCCUCGGGGAGUGUUAUAGCCUGUGGUGAUGCGGCGCGUCUCGGGUGAGGUCCGCGCUUCGGCAAGGAUGUUGGCGUAAUGGUUGUCAGCGGCCCGUCUUGAAACACGGACCAAGGAGUCUAACAUCUAUGCGAGUGUUCGGGUGUCAAACCCCUACGCGUAAUGAAAGUGAACGGAGGUGGGAAGGGUAACCUGCACCAUCGACCGAUCCUGAUGUCCUCGGAUGGAUUUGAGUAAGAGCAUAGCUGUUGGGACCCGAAAGAUGGUGAACUAUGCCUGAAUAGGGUGAAGCCAGAGGAAACUCUGGUGGAGGCUCGCAGCGGUUCUGACGUGCAAAUCGAUCGUCAAAUUUGGGUAUAGGGGCGAAAGACUAAUCGAACCAUCUAGUAGCUGGGUCCU
rnacentral:rRNA from 1 species